GUGGGCUGGGAAAUGCUUGCUGAGUAGCUAAACCUACCCAGGUCUAGCUUUGUACCAGCUAACCUGACCUUGCCCUAGAUUAAUAAAAUGGCACACUCCUUUUGGGAGGUCUGCUUUAUGCAGCAGUGAGUGUGAGCAUUCUGCCAGGAACGUGAUGGUCAUAUAAGAUGCUGCAUACACAU